GAAAAUGAUGGUUUAACUCCUUCCCUUGUUA
rnacentral:tRNA from 1 species